GCCGAGAUAGCUCAGACGGUAAAGCGCGAGCGUCGCAGAUUCGAUUUCUGCUCUCGGCACCA
rnacentral:tRNA from 2 species